rnacentral:rRNA from 1 species
AUAUUGCGCAAUGGGCGAAAGCCUGACGCAGCGACGCCGCGUGCGGGAUGGAGGCCUUCGGGUUGUAAACCGCUUUUAUCGGGGAGCAAGCGAGAGUGAGUGUACCCGUUGAAUAAGCACCGGCUAACUACGUGCCAGCAGCCGCGGUAAUACGUAGGGUGCAAGCGUUAUCCGGAUUUAUUGGGCGUAAAGGGCUCGUAGGCGGUUCGUCGCGUCUGGUGUGAAAGUCCAUCGCUUAACGGUGGAUCUGCGCCGGGUACGGGCGGGCUGGAGUGCGGCAGGGGAGACUGGAAUUCCCGGUGUAACGGUGGAAUGUGUAGAUAUCGGGAAGAACACCAAUGGCGAAGGCAGGUCUCUGGGCCGUUACUGACGCUGAGGAGCGAAAGCGUGGGGAGCGAACA